CGAACGGGUGAGUAAUACGUGAGUGACCUACCUUUGACUCUGGGAUAAGCCUGGGAAACUGGGUCUAAUACCGGAUACGACCAAUCUCUGCAUGGGGUGUUGGUGGAAAGCGUUAUGGAGUGGUUUUAGAUGGGCUCACGGCCUAUCAGCUUGUUGGUGAGGUAAUGGCUUACCAAGGCGACGACGGGUAGCCGGCCUGAGAGGGUGACCGGCCACACUGGGACUGAGACGCGGCCCAG
rnacentral:rRNA from 1 species